rnacentral:rRNA from 1 species
UACGUAGGGUCCGAGCGUUGUCCGGAAUUACUGGGCGUAAAGCGCGCGCAGGCGGCCCGCGAGGUGUCACGUGAAAGCCCCGGGCUCAACCCGGGAGGGUCGUGGCAAACCGGCGGGCUUGAGGCCGGUAGAGGUGGGUGGAACUCCUGGUGGAGUGGUGAAAUGCGUAGAGAUCAGGAAGAACCCCCGUGGCGAAGGCGGCCCACUGGGCCGGUACUGACGCUGAGGCGCGAAGGCGUGGGGAGCGAACGGG